ACGUGUUUACAUGCCGGUGUCAUCAUAGCUGCAGAUAAGCAUGCUUGGGCGAGAGUAGUACUAGGAUGGGUGAAUUCAUGGGAAGUCCUCGUGUUGCACCUC
rnacentral:rRNA from 2 species